UCCUGUACAGUAAGACUUUGGGAAUGAAAUGCUACAAUCUCCUCUUGUCUAUGGUGUUUUUCUGCAAUAGUUGCCUACGCAAUCAUUAUAGUAGAAUAAAGGAAAUAAUCUAGGGAUAGUGAUUCAAUAAAUAACAGGUGCCCUGUCUAGAGCGUACGCGUCCUUGAGCCACGCACCUGCAUGAUGACCGCAUACCGAGAGACUAUUGUUUCAGGUUGACCUUGUCUAGAGGAGCAUUAGUGGGAAAAAACUGUGUAGCCCUGAGACAAUAGGAUGAUGUCUGGACCAAUGAGACUGGCCUGCAGGGGACGCAAGGAUUCACUUCUCUCUUGGACACUGGCGGAUGUAGACACGGUAAUUAUGAUCCUGGCAAUUGCGUUGAUCGUCAGUAGAAGAGCGUAGCUUAGGUGGGGUUCUGUCUGCCUCUGAUGGGGUGCGGAUGUGUGGUUCGUCACUGGUGAAUGGUGUUCGACGAUGCAGGUGGAUUUUGUGACGAGCGGAUUUACAAUGAGGGAAUGUAGUGUACGUGUCCGAUGAUAGUGCGCGUCUUUUCACUCUGUUCAAGUGUUCGUCUGCCUCUGUUGCCCAACAGUCGUGCGAAUUUGUCCUGACGUGUCCUGACAUGCCCCGAUAUGCAUGGUUUCCUUUGUUAACGCUUUGUAUUUUGUCUUUUUUGACAAGGAACAUUGUCGUCUUGACGAUAGUGCUGCCCUGAGUUCUGCGCGCGUUGAUUUGUUGAGUGCCUAGUCCUCUUAUUAGCCGUUGAUGGGGUUACAUGUUGGGAUAUUUUGUUCUUUUGCAAGUCUCAUUUAGUAAGACUUUGGAAUUCCUACGAUCAAGUUUCAUGCAUGGUGCUCUUCUGCAAUAGUUUCCUAUGCGAUCGUUAUAGAAGAAUAAAGGAAAUAACCUUGGGAUAGUGAUUCAAUAAAUAAUAGGUCCCCUGUCUAGAGCGCACGCGUCCUUGAGCCACGCAGGUGCAUGAGGACGUCAUACCGUGGCUUCACUGCAGAUUGACCUUGUCUAGAGGAGCAUUAGUGGAAAAAAACAGUGUAGCCCUGAGACAAUAGGAUGAUGUCUGGACCAAUGAGAACGGCCAGCAGGGGGCGCAGGAAUGCUCUUCUCUCUUAGCCUCUCGCAGGUGGCGGUAGGAGCGCGCGCAUGCGUAGCACCCGUAGAGUGGCGUUUACGUCAGUCCACCUCUGGCUCUCGUUGGGAGAAGACCGUUCGCUCCGUCGUCACUUGAUCCCUGGCUGUCGACGAGAGCGGACGCUCCGUCGCAGCGGGGAAAAAGAGCUACGAUGCUGGCGCCAUCUGGUGUGAUGCCUUGGAACUAGCGUGCCACCUGCCUCUGCAACCGUCGUGCUCCAGUCGCCCCGGCGUGAUUUCUUCAAGAUGGCGUCGUUGAUUUUCAAAUAAAUCAUUUCCUACUGUCUG